rnacentral:rRNA from 1 species
GUGGGGAAUAUUGGACAAUGGGCGAAAGCCUGAUCCAGCCAUGCCGCGUGUGUGAAGAAGGUCUUCGGAUUGUAAAGCACUUUAAGUUGGGAGGAAGGGCAGUAAGUUAAUACCUUGCUGUUUUGACGUUACCGACAGAAUAAGCACCGGCUAACUUCGUGCCAGCAGCCGCGGUAAUACGACGGGUGCAAGCGUUAAUCGGAAUUACUGGGCGUAAAGCGCGCGUAGGUGGUUUUGGAAGUUGGAGGUGAAAUCCCCGGGCUCAACCUGGGAACUGCCUCCAAAACUGCAUGACUAGAGUACGGUAGAGGGUAGUGGAAUUUCCUGUGUAGCGGUGAAAUGCGUAGAUAUAGGAAGGAACACCAGUGGCGAAGGCGACUACCUGGACUGAUACUGACACUGAGGUGCGAAAGCGUGGGGAGCAAACAGGAUUAGAAACCCGUGUAGUCC